GAGCGUUAGGAGGGCGAGGCCUGGGCGCCACCCGUCUGGGGCCCGAAAGGAGGGAGCUUUCCCUCUGUCCUCCAGCCUUUGGACUGUCUCCAAACAAGCCAUUCGUUCACCAAAUACUUAUUAAGCACCUACCAUGUGCCUGACAAGGGAGAUGUAACGCUGGGGAAACUGAGUUACAGAGCUUUUCUGCACUGAGUCAUCAGGAGCAAAUGCUAGAUCAGGGUCUCUCUCUCUGCCACCCAGGCCAGAGUGCAGUUGACGCAGGGCAGGGGAGCCCCGAAGUGGAGCAUAGUGUGUCCGGAACUGGUGGGUUCUUGGUCUCACUGACUUCAAGAAUGAAGCCGUGGACCCUCACGGUUCAAGCGAUUCUCCUGCCUCAGCCUCCAGAGUAGCUGGAACUACAGAUGCGCACCACCACGCCCAGGCUGUGCUUCUCAGUGGCUCCCACCAGAUACCUGAUGGUCCUGUCGAUUUGCUGAAUCAUCAACUUCCUAUUCUCUGCCUCUGGCCUGAAUCGAUGUCCCACGUUAUCUGGCUCUCUGUAACACAGAGUCACAAAGUCAAAGUCUUCCUUGGUGAACCAGUUCAUGACAGUAUCGAUGUUCGCACUCCGCUCUGUCUCGUUGCUGUUUGGAGACAGGGUUUCACCAUGUUGGCCAGGCUUGUCUUGAACUCCUGACGUCGUGAUCUGCCUGCUUUGGCCUCCCAAAGUCCUGGGAUUACAGGCAUGAGCCACCGUACCCAGCCACUCUUGAUUAACUUAAUGGAAAUAUUUACAGAGAUUCUUUCUCUUCUGGGUUCUAGCGUCUUAUCUGUAACCUCUGCAGGGGAGUCACUGAGCAGAACGAAGCGAGUUGCCUGAGAUUCUUCAAAGCCCCAGCCCUUUUGGAGGUUACAUUGUUAUUCUCAGAGCCUUUAUGAUGCAUAAUAAAGACCUAGCUUGUACCAA
ensembl:lncRNA LINC02018 long intergenic non-protein coding RNA 2018